AUACGGAGGGUCCGAGCGUUAUCCGGAAUCAUUGGGUUUAAAGGGUCCGUAGGCGGGAAUCUAAGUCAGUGGUGAAAUCUUGCAGCUCAACUGUAAAAUUGCCAUUGAUACUGGAUUUCUUGAAUUAGUGUGAAGUGGUUAGAAUGUGUAGUAUAGCGGUGAAAUGCAUAGAUAUUACACAGAAUACCAAUUGCGAAGGCAGAUCACUAACACUAUAUUGACGCUGAGGGACGAAAGCGUGGGGAGCGAACAGGAUUAGAAACCCUAGUAGUCC
rnacentral:rRNA from 1 species